GAGGAUCUCAGAGACGACCGUGGCAGAGGCGACCUCUGGAAACCUGGCUAACAACAGUGCCUCAAGAAACAAGGUCAACAAAGACAUGACCAUCAAGUUCGACUUGUGUCACUGCGUGUGGUGGUUUGAACAGUGGGCUGCUAUAUUUCAGGUCUGCAGAAGACCAUCUCUGAACCAACAACACGUCCAACCUUGAAGCAGAUGGGCUACAGCAGCAGAAGACCACACCAGCUGCCACUCCUGUCAGCUAACAACAGGAAACUGAGGCUACAGUUCACACAGGCUCACCAAAACUGGACAAUAGAAGAUUGGAAAAACGUCGCCUGGUCUGAUGAGUCUGGAUUUCUGCUGCAACUUUCAGAUGACUCUGAGAUCCUCCUGCAGUCACACAAGAGGUGCUCCUGAGCCCCAGUGUACAAGACCUUGAAGGCAGCAAAGCAGUCCCUAAAGCAUUAAAGGGGAACAUUGUGGUCAAUAUUUGUGAGCAUGAAUUGCUCUCUUUAAGUUUUUUUUAACAGUUUUAACAUCUGAUCAACUAUGUGCGUCAUAUGACUACGACCUGGCACCUUUUCCUGAUAUUUGCAGAAUAAUGUUGGUAGAAAUGUAGAUUAAAUAGGCUGUGUUGCCAUCACUAUGAGGAACAGAUAUGGAUUGCGGUUCCACACAGUUUCUUGCAUUUUUUGGGCCAAAAAUGGCUCUUAUGAUAGUAAACGUUGCUUCCCCAAUUUACUGUUUGUCCCUGAAUGCAGCAU